AUACGAAGGGGGCUAGCGUUGUUCGGAAUUACUGGGCGUAAAGCGCGCGUAGGCGGACUGAUCAGUUGGGGGUGAAAUCCCAGGGCUUAACCCUGGAACUGCCUCCAAUACUGUCAGUCUUGAGUUCGGGAGAGGUGAGUGGAAUUCCUAGUGUAGAGGUGAAAUUCGUAGAUAUUAGGAAGAACACCAGUGGCGAAGGCGGCUCACUGGCCCGAUACUGACGCUGAUGCGCGAAAGCGUGGGGAGCAAACAGGAUUAGAAACCCUAGUAGUCC
rnacentral:rRNA from 1 species